CUCUAUGGUGAGCUGAAUGGAAGUCCGAAAGGACGCCGUGAACCUUUGAGAGCGGUAAGACCAAUUCCGUUCAGUUCACCACCAAU
rfam:Rodentibacter myodis strain Ac151 contig_10, whole genome shotgun sequence.